GAUGAACGCUGGCGGCGUGCUUAACACAUGCAAGUCGAACGAAGCACUUAAGUGAAUUUCUUCGGAAUGAAGCUUUUGUGACUGAGUGGCGGACGGGUGAGUAACGCGUGGGUAACCUGCCUCAUACAGGGGGAUAACAGUUAGAAAUGGCUGCUAAUACCGCAUAAGCGCACAGGGCCGCAUGGCCCGGUGUGAAAAACUCCGGUGGUAUAAGAUGGCCUCGCGUCCCAUUAGCUAGUUGGUGAGGUAACGCCCACAAGGCAACGAUCGGUAGCCGGACUGAGAGGUUGAACGGCCACAUUGGGACUGAGACACGGCCCAG
rnacentral:rRNA from 1 species